rnacentral:snRNA from 1 species
GUGCUCACUUCAGCAGCAAAUAUACUAAAAUUGGAACGAUACAGAGAAGAUUAGUAUGGUCCCUGCACAAGGAUGACACGCAAAUUCAUGAAGCAUUCCAUAUUUUU